rnacentral:tRNA from 1 species
UGUUUUCUUCUUCUCAGUGUAAGUGAGAUACUAUUAGCUUUUUUCCUCCCUUAGUUUACU